rnacentral:rRNA from 1 species
GACGAACGCUGGCGGCGUGCUUAACACAUGCAAGUCGAACGGAAAGGCCCUGCUUUUGUGGGGUGCUCGAGUGGCGAACGGGUGAGUAACACGUGAGUAACCUGCCCUUGACUUUGGGAUAACUUCAGGAAACUGGGGCUAAUACCGGAUAGGAGCUCCUGCUGCAUGGUGGGGGUUGGAAAGUUUCGGCGGUUGGGGAUGGACUCGCGGCUUAUCAGCUUGUUGGUGGGGUAGUGGCUUACCAAGGCUUUGACGGGUAGCCGGCCUGAGAGGGUGACCGGCCACAUUGGGACUGAGAUACGGCCCAGACUCCUAGGGGAGGCAGCAGUGGGGAAUAUUGCACAAUGGGCGGAAGCCUGAUGCAGCAACGCCGCGUGCGGGAUGACGGCCUUCGGGUUGUAAACCGCUUUCGCCUGUGACGAAGCGUGAGUGACGGUAAUGGGUAAAGAAGCACCGGCUAACUACGUGCCAGCAGCCGCGGUGAUACGUAGGGUGCGAGCGUUGUCCGGAUUUAUUGGGCGUAAAGGGCUCGUAGGUGGUUGAUCGCGUCGGAAGUGUAAUCUUGGGGCUUAACCCUGAGCGUGCUUUCGAUACGGGUUGACUUGAGGAAGGUAGGGGAGAAUGGAAUUCCUGGUGGAGCGGUGGAAUGCGCAGAUAUCAGGAGGAACACCAGUGGCGAAGGCGGUUCUCUGGGCCUUUCCUGACGCUGAGGAGCGAAAGCGUGGGGAGCGAACAGGCUUAGAUACCCUGGUAGUCCACGCUGUAAACGGUGGGUACUAGGUGUGGGGUCCAUUCCACGGGUUCCGUGCCGUAGCUAACGCUUUAAGUACCCCGCCUGGGGAGUACGGCCGCAAGGCUAAAACUCAAAGGAAUUGACGGGGCCCCGCACAAGCGGCGGAGCAUGCGGAUUAAUUCGAUGCAACGCGUAGAACCUUACCUGGGUUUGACAUGGAUCGGGAGUGCUCAGAGAUGGGUGUGCCUCUUUUGGGGUCGGUUCACAGGUGGUGCAUGGCUGUCGUCAGCUCGUGUCGUGAGAUGUUGGGUUAAGUCCCGCAACGAGCGCAACCCUUGUUCACUGUUGCCAGCACGUUAUGGUGGGGACUCAGUGGAGACCGCCGGGGUCAACUCGGAGGAAGGUGGGGAUGACGUCAAGUCAUCAUGCCCCUUAUGUCCAGGGCUUCACGCAUGCUACAAUGGCUGGUACAGAGAGUGGCGAGCCUGUGAGGGUGAGCGAAUCUCGGAAAGCCGGUCUCAGUUCGGAUUGGGGUCUGCAACUCGACCUCAUGAAGUCGGAGUCGCUAGUAAUCGCAGAUCAGCAACGCUGCGGUGAAUACGUUCCCGGG